AAGGACUCUACUGUAACGGUAAGCUGCCAAUAAAACAUGAAAUAUUUGGCAUAAAAUAACGCGGCAAGCAACAAGGAAAAAUACGGCAAUACUGUAACCACGUGGCAUACCCCAGAAGCUCAAACAGUUGGCAAUAAAAAGUAAACGAUUUGCGGCCCUAGAACUUAACUAGCUUGGGAGCACAGUUUCAAAUUCACUAGUAAAGAGGCCAAAGCUGAGGCGAGAGGGACAACGAAAGAAAAGCUGAAUAAAGUCUAUGGAAUUUUCGUUUUUUUUUUUGUUUCCUUAAAUUUAUGCCACAAAGAACGGCAGCUUAAUUAAAAUUCCUAAAGGCACCCAAAAAGUGCAGCAAAA